GGCCUUGCGGCGUGCUAUACAUGCAAGUCGAGCGGACAGAUGGGAGCUUGCUCCCUGAUGUUAGCGGCGGACGGGUGAGUAACACGUGGGUAACCUGCCUGUAAGACUGGGAUAACUCCGGGAAACCGGGGCUAAUACCGGAUGGUUGUUUGAACCGCAUGGUUCAGACAUAAAAGGUGGCUUCGGCUACCACUUACAGAUGGACCCGCGGCGCAUUAGCUAGUUGGUGAGGUAACGGCUCACCAAGGCGACGAUGCGUAGCCGACCUGAGAGGGUGAUCGGCCACACUGGGACUGAGACACGGCCCAGACUCCUACGGGAGGCAGCAGUAGGGAAUCUUCCGCAAUGGACGAAAGUCUGACGGAGCAACGCCGCGUGAGUGAUGAAGGUUUUCGGAUCGUAAAGCUCUGUUGUUAGGGAAGAACAAGUGCCGUUCAAAUAGGGCGGCACCUUGACGGUACCUAACCAGAAAGCCACGGCUAACUACGUGCCAGCAGCCGCGGUAAUACGUAGGUGGCAAGCGUUGUCCGGAAUUAUUGGGCGUAAAGGGCUCGCAGGCGGUUUCUUAAGUCUGAUGUGAAAGCCCCCGGCUCAACCGGGGAGGGUCAUUGGAAACUGGGGAACUUGAGUGCAGAAGAGGAGAGUGGAAUUCCACGUGUAGCGGUGAAAUGCGUAGAGAUGUGGAGGAACACCAGUGGCGAAGGCGACUCUCUGGUCUGUAACUGACGCUGAGGAGCGAAAGCGUGGGGAGCGAACAGGAUUAGAUACCCUGGUAGUCCACGCCGUAAACGAUGAGUGCU
rnacentral:rRNA from 1 species